UUCCUACUGGCGGGUCAGCUGUACCUCGGAAUUCCCAGGGGUCCCGGGCUUCCUGCUGAUGGUGCAGCUUUGAGCUCUCUUUGCUCAAGGACAGUCUCCUCCUGGAUCCCUGGGGCAGACAUCCUUCCCAGGAAUGAUAGGCAAGGAGAAUUUUCUGCUCUUUUGGAUCCACCAGACCAGGAAAUGAACCCAUGUCCCCUACAUCAGCAAGUGGAUUCCUAACCAUAACGUCACCAGUGAAGUCCCUCUGUGCAACUUCUGAACGAGUCAAGGAAGCCUCCCCAACUCUGCAUGCGCAGGAAGGCUCUUUGGAGGUGAAAGGCAGAGUGAUGUCAACCUAUCAAUAGGCCUCUUCGCUAGAAUCCAUCUUGGCUAAGAGAUACAUGCACACACAUGGAAGGACCAUCAGAUAAACCAAAUACAGACUCAGAACCAGACAAAGCAAGAUGAUUGGCCAAAGGAAACCCCAAAGAAAUGUCCCAUAUAAGUAAUUCAAACUACCACAAGAUCAUGACUCUCUGAGCCUGCCUGUGUGUCCAUCCACAUGUACUCCUUUUCCCUGUAAUAAACAUUUUACUUGUUUCACUAUG